UGGUGGUGAUCUGCAGUGAAGGUCACACAUUGGUUAGUAGAAAUCCAGUCAUCUGUGCAGUCCAAGGGUGGAAGGGCAACAUGCCUUCAUGUGAAGUGGUGACUUGUUAUCUGCCACCUGGAG